rnacentral:lncRNA from 1 species
CCUCCUCUCUUUCUCUCUCACAUCUCCUUCUCUUCUCUCUCUUUCUCACACGUCUCAUUCACUUCCGCUAGCCUCGAUUUCUCCGUACGCCACUGCAUCCUUCGCGCCGCUGAACACGUACUUGCUCUCGUCGUUCUCUGUCUCUCUCUAUCACCUCCCGUUCUCUCCUUUCUCACCUUCCAUACGGGUUCACCUCUUCCGCACCGCGCGGAGCGUACUU